GAUGAACGCUGGCGGCGUGCUUAACACAUGCAAGUCGAACGGGAUCCAAGGGGUGCUUGCACUUUUUGGUGAGAGUGGCGAACGGGUGAGUAACACGUGAGUAACCUGUCCUUUUCUUUGGGAUAAGCAUUCGAAAGGGUGUUUAAUACCUUAUGUUCUGUCUGCCUCGCAUGGGGUGGGUGGGAAAGGCUUUGGCCGGAUUUGGGUGGGCUCGCGGUCUAUCAGCUUGUUGGUGGGGUGAUGGCUUACCAAGGCUUUGACGGGUAGCCGGCCUGAGAGGGUGGUCGGUCACAUUGGGACUGAGAUACGGCCCAGACUGCUGCGGGAGGCAGCAGUGGGGGAUAUUGCACAAUGGGCGAAAGCCUGAUGCAGCGACGCCGCGUGGGGGAUGAAGGCCUUCGGGUUGUAAACUUCUUUUGCUCUGAACAAGGCAUGCCAGUGGGUGUGUUGAGUGUAGGGGUUGAUUAGCGCCGGCUAACUACGUG
rnacentral:rRNA from 1 species